AUUCCUUGCAAUCUCAAAGAAAAAGGAACGAGAGUAGGAGGGAUGGAGGAUAAAAGCACCUGCAAACAAAAAAACAAAAGAAGAAGCUAAUAUCAAGCCUUAAGGAAAAUAAGAGAAGAAUUAGUGUCAAAGUGCACUACGUAACUAACCUAAAGCAAAAGGGGAUAGGGUAUGAAGCAAUUGAAAUUCGGCAGAAGUGAUCGGAGGCAACAAAAGAUGAGAGUUUACUUCUUUCUAAUGAAGGGAUUUUUGGAAUGGAGGAGAACAAGCUAGGUAGUUGAAGAAGUUGAAUGUGUGCUCGAGCUGGCGCGCUUGUUAUGUUGGCGCGAGUACUACACAGCAGUUGACGCAAACGAGAAUUUCGUUAAUUAGAGUAUACGAGUUGAUAGUUCCUGGUGAGCCCCACACUUAUUCGCGUGGGCGAAGAGUUUAUUUCUUUGUUAUCGUGUUUUCUAUUUAACUCAUAGAGUCGCUCCAUAGUCAUUCUUUUAGUGUCAUGAGUAUUCUUUCGUUAUUAUAGACUUAUGAUGAGUAUUGCACUUCCUUAUUGAAUUUGGAGAUAAAUUAGUAUUUGUGGCUGUUAGUGAGUAUAUUAUAA